rnacentral:rRNA from 1 species
UACGUAGGGUCCGAGCGUUGUCCGGAAUUAUUGGGCGUAAAGGGCUCGUAGGCGGUUUGUUGCGUCGGGAGUGAGAACUUACAGCUUAACUGUGAGCGUGCUUCCGAUACGGGCAGACUUGAGGUAUUCAGGGGAGAACGGAAUUCCUGGUGUAGCGGUGAAAUGCGCAGAUAUCAGGAGGAACACCGGUGGCGAAGGCGGUUCUCUGGGAAUAUCCUGACGCUGAGGAGCGAAAGUGUGGGGAGCGAACAGG